AAAUAUGGACCGUCAGAUUAAAGUAAAUCAAUCUCGACCGUUCAUGAGUUAGUUACUAUGUAAUCCAUUUUUCUAUAAAUAGAAGCUCAUUCCUUCAUUAUUUCUUACGAAUUCACUGAAACUCUAGAGAGAGAAAUUAUAGAAAAGCUAUAGAAAAGUAUUCUGCUGCUUCCCUACUCUUAUAUUCAGUUUCUUUUAUGGUAAGGGAUAUUAUUUGUUGUAAUCGUAAGGGGUAUUAUUUCUUUUGUAUUCCUGAAGAGAACUUCUGUUAUUCCAUUCUUUAUUAUUCUGCUGGAAUAACCAGUAUACGCGGACUACCCUAUACUUGGUGACAUUCUUCUAAUAUUCCGUCUUUAUUAUUCUAUUGGAAUAUCCUGUCUGUGCGAUUACGCCGGACCUGGUUCCAUUCUUUAUUAUUCUGCUGGAAUAACCAGUAUACGCGGACUACCCUAUACUUGGUGACAUUCUUCUAAUAUUCCGUCUUUAUUAUUAUUCUGUUAGCAUAUCCUGUCUGUGCAUUUACGCCAGACCUGGUUCCAUCUUUAUUAUUAUUCUGUUGGAAUAUCCUGUCUGUGCGAUUACGCCGGACCUGGUUCCAUCUUUAUUAUUAUUCUG
rnacentral:lncRNA from 1 species